rnacentral:rRNA from 1 species
UACGUAGGGUGCAAGCGUUAAUCGGAAUUACUGGGCGUAAAGCGUGCGCAGGCGGUUAUGUAAGACAGAUGUGAAAUGCCCGGGCUUAACCUGGGAACUGCAUUUGUGACUGCAUGGCUAGAGUUUGGCAGAGGGGGGUAGAAUUCCACGUGUAGCAGUGAAAUGCGUAGAUAUCAGGAGGAACACCGAUGGCGAAGGCAGGUCUCUGGGCUGACACUGACGCUCAUGCACGAAAGCGUGGGGAGCAAACAGG